ACCUCUCGAAUGGAUGUCGCGCGGUGGGUGGCCGCUUUUGAGUUUGCUUGCCUCGCCAUAAGCGUAGCAUUUUCUGAGCCGCACUGCCAGCCGAAGAUUCCUCUACCCGCUUUACGUGACCGAGGAAAUCCGAUGUAGUUGUACGAUGUGUAACAAUUCCACGCGCAAUACAGAUUCACGAAGAACGCCGUGCGGGAGCUGCUGGCUAUGUUGCCGCUCCGUGAAAGUGGGGACUACCGAAGACAGCCUGUGCCUCCAGUGUUACAGCUACUGAUGACUCUCAGGUUUUACAGCGCUGGCACAUUCCAAACAGUCACCGGGGAUCUCGUCCGCAUUCCGUAGUCGACAGUGUGCCGUGCAGUCGGAAAAGUUACGCUUCUCAUCGCAAAGCACCUGUACGCGAUGCUUGUGCGCUUUCCGCACGUGGUGGCACUUUCUAUGAAGUGGCUGAGUUCCCUGGUGUUAUAGGUUCUGCCAACUAAAUACAUAUGCUCGAUGAAAACGCCCGAUUUAUAAAAGCUAUUAUUCGCUGUCAAAACGAAGGGGACGCUUUGAAGUGUUCGAGGUAUAAAGCGCUUUUCUACAGAAAUUUAGUCGUCUUGGCAAAUUUAGGAAGAUCAUGUAAAAGGACAAUUCCACCAGAGAAAUAUCCUGCGUAACCUACUCUCCCAGACAUCCCUGGACGUCGCUGGUCUUGUAGGGCAGGCAUCUCUUGU